GACGAACGCUGGCGGCGUGCUUAACACAUGCAAGUCGAACGGAAAGGCCCUGCUUUUGUGGGGUGCUCGAGUGGCGAACGGGUGAGUAACACGUGAGUAACCUGCCCUUGACUUUGGGAUAACUUCAGGAAACUGGGGUUAAUACCGGAUAGGAGCUCCUGCUGCAUGGUGGGGGUUGGAAAGUUUCGGCGGUUGGGGAUGGACUCGCGGCUUAUCAGCUUGUUGGUGGGGUAGUGGCUUACCAAGGCUUUGACGGGUAGCCGGCCUGAGAGGGUGACCGGCCACAUUGGGACUAAGAUACGGCCCAGACUCCUACGGGAGGCAGCAGUGGGGAAUAUUGCACAAUGGGCGGAAGCCUGAUGCAGCAACGCCGCGUGCGGGAUGACGGCCUUCGGGCUGUAAACCGCUUUCGCCUGUGACGAAGCGUGAGUGACGGUAAUGGGUAAAGAAGCACCGGCUAACUACGUG
rnacentral:rRNA from 1 species